rnacentral:sRNA from 1 species
UCCACUAGUUCCUUGUUUAAAGCCCUUAAAAAGCCUACAAGAGCCGGGCCAGACCUGUUAGGACUCCACACUGCUGAUGGCUAAUUUCACAAACAUCAUGUCUUGCAACUCCAGAGGCACGGGUCGGGAGGGCUAGGGGUGGGGAAGGCCUGCCCUCACCCUGGCUUCCCUGCCUUGGGGUCCCCGCCUCCUCCCCAGGGUUCUGCACGGCAAAAGGGGGCCUGGUGAGCUCCAUCUUGCACCCCCGGCCCAUCAACUUCAAGUUCUAUAAACACAGCAUGAAGUUUGUGGCUGCCCUCUCUGUCCUGGGUGAGUGGUCCCCUGCACCCUCCUCUGCCCAUAGCCCCCCAACCUGGGUCCCAAAUCCCACUCAGUCCUUCACUGUCCCCACAGCUCUCCUCGGCACCAUCUACAGCAUCUUCAUCCUCUACCGAAACCGGGUGCCUCUGAACGAGAUUGUGAUCCGGGCUCUCGACCUGGUGACCGUGGUGGUGCCACCUGCCCUGCCUGCUGCCAUGACCGUGUGCACGCUCUAUGCCCAGAGCCGACUGCGGAGACAGGGCAUUUUCUG